rnacentral:rRNA from 1 species
GAUCAUGGCUCAGAUUGAACGCUGGCGGCAGGCCUAACACAUGCAAGUCGAACGGUAACAGGAAACAGCUUGCUGUUUCGCUGACGAGUGGCGGACGGGUGAGUAAUGUCUGGGAAACUGCCUGAUGGAGGGGGAUAACUACUGGAAACGGUAGCUAAUACCGCAUAAUGUCGCAAGACCAAAGAGGGGGGAACCUUCGGGCCUCUUGCCAUCGGAUGUGCCCAGAUGGGAUUAGCUAGG